GGCCAGCGUGGCACAGUGGUUUGAGCACUGGACUCAACCUGUGGAGAGCAGGGUUUGAAUCUCUGCCUGGCCA